GACGAACGCUGGCGGCGUGCUUAACACAUGCAAGUCGUACGGUAAGGCCCUUUCGGGGGUACACGAGUGGCGAACGGGUGAGUAACACGUGAGUAACCUGCCCACAACUUUGGGAUAACGCUAGGAAACUGGUGCUAAUACUGGAUAUGUGCUCCUGCUGCAUGGUGGGGGUUGGAAAGCUCCGGCGGUUGUGGAUGGACUCGCGGCCUAUCAGCUUGUUGGUGGGGUAGUGGCCUACCAAGGCGGCGACGGGUAGCCGGCCUGAGUGGGUGACCGGCCACAUUGGGACUGAGAUACGGCCCAGACUCCUACGGGAGGCAGCAGUGGGGAAUAUUGCACAAUGGGCGCAAGCCUGAUGCAGCAACGCCGCGUGCGGGAUGACGGCCUUCGGGUUGUAAACCGCUUUCAGCAGGGACGAAGCUUUUUGUGACGGUACCUGCAGAAGAAGCGCCGGCUAACUACGUG
rnacentral:rRNA from 1 species